UGGGUCAUCGUCUAAUGGGUAGGACACCGGAUUCUGGCUCCGGCAAUUCAGGUUCGAGUCCUGGUGACCCAGCCA
rnacentral:tRNA from 1 species